GACGAACGCUGGCGGCGUGCUUAACACAUGCAAGUCGAACGGAAAGGCGCUGAUUUUGUGCGCGGCUCGAGAGGCGAACGGGUGAGUGACACGUGAGUAACCUCCCCUUGACAUUCUGAUAACUUCAGGAAACUGGGGCUCAUAACCCAUAGGAGCUCCUGCAGCAUAUUGUGGGUUGGCAAGUUUCGGCGGUUGGGGAUGGACUCGCGGCUUAUCAGCUUGCUGGUGGGGUAGUGGCUUACCAAGGCUCUGACGGGUAGCCGGCCUGAGAGGGUGAGGGGCCACAUUGGGACUGAGAUAGGGCCCAGACUCCAACGGGAGGCAACGGUGGAGAAGAUUACACAGUGGGCGGGAGCCAGAUGCAGCGACGCGGCGUGCGGGAUAACGGGCUUCGAGUUGUAAACCAAUGUCGCCUGUGACGAAGAGUGAGUGACGGUAACGGGUAAGGAAGCACCGGCUAACUACGUG
rnacentral:rRNA from 1 species